rnacentral:rRNA from 1 species
UGGGGAAUCUUGCACAAUGGGGGCAACCCUGAUGCAGCGACGCCGCGUGAGCGAUGAAGGUUUUCGAAUCGUAAAGCUCUGUCCUAUGGGAAGAUAAUGACGGUACCAUAGGAGGAAGCCCCGGCUAACUACGUGCCAGCAGCCGCGGUAAUACGUAGGGGGCGAGCGUUGUCCGGAAUUACUGGGCGUAAAGGGUGCGUAGGUGGUCUUUCAAGUCGGUGGUUAAAGGCUACGGCUCAACCGUAGUUAGCCUCCGAAACUGGAAGACUUGAGUGCAGGAGAGGAAAGUGGAAUUCCCAGUGUAGCGGUGAAAUGCGUAGAUAUUGGGAGGAACACCAGUAGCGAAGGCGGCUUUCUGGACUGCAACUGACACUGAGGCACGAAAGCGUGGGUAGCAAACAGG